rnacentral:lncRNA from 1 species
GGUGCAGAAACUUGAUUCACACAAACUGGUCUCUGUAGCUUUAAGGCUUCUAACUUGCAUGCUAAGGUUGCAAUUUUGGCCUCUGCAGUCAGAGAAGUCUGAAUUUGGUGCAUUCCUCCUCUCGAAGGUGUCGAUCUCUCAGGUUUUCUAGUUAUUUUCCAUGGUAAAUUCUUCUCAACUAGGUCUUCUAGAAAUUAUCAGGCUUCAGUGGGUUCUUUGUACAUUAAUU